GGCUGCAUAGGUGUUGUAGCAACCACCAAGCCUUAAAUAAUGCCAUGUCUCUUAUUUUUGAAAGAGGUUGCACUGUUUUUGUUACAAAAAGCUACCACCAGCCCCCCUGGAAUUUUUACUGAGACGGUGCUUAUGGAAUAACGUCUAACUCAGGCUCUGAUUCGGACUGACUGGUUUGACUGUCACUCCCUGUAUUUUGUCCGAACACCCAGUCGACGAUGUCUUCCCCUUCUCUGUCUGUCAAUCGGCCUGCCUCCACAUCUUCUUCCAGAGAUAUAAUCCACACCGUCCAGUCAAACAACCUGUCGAACACUUGCAUCCUUUAAGGAGUGAGUCGACUCGAUCACGGACAGCCUGUACGUUGGUGGCAGUAUCCCAUUUAAUGAGCCCACUGUAUAACUGGAGAGUUGUUUUGAGAGGUCGUUGAUGAGCUGCUCGAGGUCUGCAUCUGUACUCUGGCAUUUAUUACUUUGGAGAAUAAUCAGGACAAACCUGGCGAGUGAAAUCAAUCUUCAAGGAGGCUGCAAGGGUAUGUGCUGGCUCACUUCGCCAGUUGCUUGGGCUACUCAUAUUCCCACUGACGCCAUGGCACAACUCACAUACUCCGUUGUCUGCAACACUGUCACUGACUUCCCCAAAAGAAAGCUGCCUUCUAGUUUUUCGCUUACUAGCCAUUCCCCUAGACACUAUUUUACAACUGUUUGUAUUAAUUUUUUAUAUCAUUAUUGUGUGACACAACAAACCUGGAAUGUCUACGUCUAUGAUGUGUCCAUAGUCUGUGUGGUGCACUCCAUCUUGUGGGACUCCAUGUGGUUUGACAUGGAAAUUGUGGUCAAGUUUUGCAAGCUCAUAAUUUUUGCUUCAAAGCUGGGUACAAGCAAAAUGUUUUUGCAAAGUAAUGCUCAAAGCUUACAAAUUUUGUUGAUACCCAUCACGUAGCUUCACUUUGUUAGCAAAAUUUUUUGUCACUUGUUCUAGAGGAGUACUAUCAUAUGACAUAGAGUGCUAUUUGAGCUCGUGGAGCCAAACUUAUAAAAGCUUAACAACUAUUCUCGUGUAUGCAUGUAGACUAGGAACAGUUCUACGUGCCUGAGCUCGUUCGUGAGUGUAUGUACAAUACUUCGUGGAAUAUAAGUGUGUGAAUAUUUAAUUACUUGUAGUAUUAGCUUCAUUUUGAUAGCGGAAGUUGAACUUCCGUUGCAAAUAAAUUUGUGUACUUAUAUAGUACUUCCGGAAUCUUGGCGGAACAA